rnacentral:siRNA from 1 species
UAUUUUGAUAGAUCUGCCCCAGCU